rnacentral:rRNA from 1 species
UCUAAAUUUUAAAGGGUAAUACUCCUUUGGAAACCCUUACUUUUUGGCGGCCUUAUUUCUUAUCAGAGGAACUUGUUCAUUAAUCGAAAUUACCCGCUAAUUUUCUCUUUUAUACUGUUUUUAUACCGUCGUCUUAAGAAUAUUGUAAAAUAAAUUAUUCUAACCUGUUUAUCAAAUAAGUCAGAUCAAGGUGAAGCUUAUUUAAAAGUGAUGAAUGAGUUAUCCAUUAGUAUAACUAAAGGAUCUCCCCUCAAAAAGCUAGUUGAAUCAAGAUUUGACAGUACUUAUUAAUUAAAAUUUUAUAAGGAAGAAGUGAAAAAAGGUGU